GGGGGAGUUGUUGCUGGCCGCAAGGUAUAGUGCACGCUCUCCUUUUGUUCAUUCAUCUCACACCUGUGCACCUAUCGUAGGCUGAGCAAUCGGCUUAUGUAUAUUUAUCACACCCUGUAAUGUCUUACGAAUGUACACAAGGCGCUUGCGUCUUUUAAAACUAAUACAACUUUCAACAACGGAUCUCUUGGCUCUCGCAUCGAUGAAGAACGCAGCGAAAUGCGAUAAGUAAUGUGAAUUGCAGAAUUCAGUGAAUCAUCGAAUCUUUGGACGCACCUUGCGCCCUUUGGUAUUCCGAAGGGCAUGCCUGUUUGAGUGUCAUUAAAUUAUCAACUCUGAAAACUUUGUUGUUCUCAGAGCUUGGACUUGGAGUGUGCCGGGCCCCUAACAGGGCUCAGCUCCUCUUGAAAUGCAUAUGCGGAACCUUUGAUUGUGGACCAGCUCCAGCGUGAUAAUUAUCUACGUUGCGGCAGCGAAACAGUUGGAUCUGCCGAUAAUCGUUGCCUUGCGCAACAGGGACUUCACAGCCCCUAUCUUUGACAAUUUGACCUCAAAUCAGGUAGGAUUACCCGCUGAACUUAAGCAUAUCAAUA
rnacentral:rRNA from 1 species